AUUCACCCCACCUGAACUAGCAUGAACAUUUGAAGGGCAAUAAAAUAACAGAACAUAAAGCAACAGGCCAAAAUCAAAAUAAAACUAUCAGAGCUCAGUUGCGUCCAGUGGGUGUAGUAGGUUGCCGGGGCAUGCUGUCUGGCCAUUGCCUGAGGCCUCCAGGGGUACACUUACAGACUGAGCUGCUGUGUCUUCUGAUUGUGGUCAGCUCCUGUCUCCCACCAGUAGUAUAGAGCUUCAUGGUACCCCGCCGCAGGCCCGGCACUUACGCCCUUGGUUUCGGCGAUUUAUGGCCAACAACAGGAGUCCUGGGGGAGGUGAAAUGUUCAGGUGUAGGGCUGUGGUGUGAGGGUUUACCUCUGAGGGCUCCGUGCACAGGAAGGCAGCCGUGGGUGCCAAUUCCGAUCAGUGAGUUUGUGGGCAGGAGCUUCUGCGGGGAUUCGUCGUGUGUGAGUCAGGUACAGUAGGUUGAUUCAGGGCACAGGCGGAGGUGUCUGCAGGCAGGCGAAGUUGUCAGCAUUGGUUGCAUUGCCGCCAUUUUGCUCAGGCACAUAGUGCACCAUGCAGUG